GACGCAUUGACUGUGCGCCCAGACUGUUAAAAAACUUAUUUCAAUAUCCCACUGUAAAAGAAAAAAGGAAAUAAGAUAAAAUACUACACAGAGACUAAGAAGUACACAAUGACUAAAAUAUCCUGAUCCAAACCAAGGAGAGGUGAAUCGUUUACAACGCUACAUUCCUGGACCUUAUGCCGGCGAGAGUACAACAAAAUUUUAAACGGCCGUUUGAAUAUGUGUCAUCUCAUCAGAUGCCCAUAGAAGCGUGAACUGACCUUUUAAAUUCAGGGGUCGCUGUCUCUGCCUGUCCAAAUGGCCGAGUGGAACUCCCUUAGGGCCACCUCAGACACUUCGAUAAACCUCUCCGGGACCUGGAGACAGCGAGAAAAAGGUCCGGCUCAUGUGUGGGCGAGUCGUGUCCUUCCAGCAGCUUCUCGGCAUGUUCCAGAUACUCAGCGAUCCUACGAACGACGGCCUCUUUUCGCGCUGGAUCCGGAUCGUCUGGAAAAUAAGAAUUCACGGUUGCGAGGAGAAUCCCAAAUCAGGUCGUUGUCAGAAAGCACGGGCCAGACAUCCUCCUUCGGUGGUGAGGCGCAAACCUCGGCCGCCACGUCGAAAAGCGACUCAACCUCCUCUUGAGACGUUUCCGAUGUGCUCCUUCUGGCUGCGGACGUGACUAGAGGUUGCAAAGGCCUCCGCCGCCACUUCCGGCUUCCCCAUGUCAAUCCGUAGAUUGGUGCCCAGGUCCUGGGGCAAAGUGGGGGCCUCCCUGCCGGCCUCCUCCUCUGCCGGCUCACAGUCCGAGGCUCUCCGCUUGGGGAGGGGGAUGAGAGGAGGAGGUAGAGCGACGGAGUCGGGGGAGGGGUCCUGCGGCCUCGUGACAUCUCCGUCCUGAGGAGGACAAAACGUAAAUUGAUAUUGUUCCAGAUGAGGGUAUUGUACUGUUCUUGGAGACGUGCCAACUUCCGUAAGCUCAUCAGUACAGCACUAACUGUUCUUUGCAGAGGAUCAUGAAUGUAUGACAGAGUGCUCUUGUGAGCGGAACCAGAAAUGGGUUUAUAUAUUUAUAUCAUUACCCUGAAGAAGUCAAUAAGGUGUGGGCUCUUGUAGAGUGCGGGUAUGCCCAUACAGAAGAGCAGCAUGUCUUCCGCAGCCUUCCUCCUCUCCUCAAUCACAGCCUCGUCAAAUCUUCCUGCCCACAGGAACGUCACAAUGCUCACGUAGCAAAGACGAGACAACCGAGAUGUCAGAUUGUUUCCCCAGAAGCCAGUCGACGGUGGGGCCCACCUCUGCCAAAGAGUUGCGCUGUGGGAAACGCCGGGAAUUCCUCCUCUCUUCGGAACAGGUUCCUGUGGGUGUUGGCCAGCUCGGCGUGGAGCUUCUUCAGCUCGGAGUACCUCGUCCACACGACCACCUCUUUCACGUCCUCGGGGCAAGGCUUGGGCACAAACUAGAAAGUAAAAGGAUCCAAUCCAUGUUGAGAUUGAA